rnacentral:rRNA from 1 species
GGAGGAAAAGAAACCAACUGGGAUUCCCUCAGUAGCGGCGAGCGAAGAGGGAGGAGUCCAGCGCCGAAUCCCCCGGCUGGCAACCGGCGGGAACUGUGGCGUUCGGGAGUGAGCGUUCCGAGGGACGUCUGCGCGCCUCAAGUUCCCUUGACAGGGGCAUUCAACGCCCGUAGAGGGUGCGAGGCCCGUAGAGGUGCGCGCGUUCCCGGAUGCGAUCUCUCUAGAGUCGGUCUGCUUGAGAGUGCAGGCCAAAGCGGGUGGUAAACUCCAUCCAAGACUAAAUACGACCGUGAGACCGAUAGCAAACAAGUACCGUGAGGGAAAGUUGCAAAGAACUUUGAAGAGAGAGUUCAAGAGUACGUGAAACUGCUCAGAGGUAAACGGGUGGAACCUCGAAAUCCCGGGGCGAGAGGAUUCAACGUCCGUCGUCGUGGAGCGCCGUCGACGGUCGUGGGCGGACCCCUGUAGUGGGGGCGAGCCUGCGGAGUUCGUCGGUGCCUCGCUCGUCGUCUGGCGUGCAGUUGACUCCCGCCCUGAAAGGGGCCCCGCGACCGGUCGGCGCAAAGAGAGAAGAGGGGUGAGAGGAAGGCGACACUGUGGCAGGUUCACGGGCCAGGGCUUCCUCCGAGUCGCUCAUGUCCGUGGACCGAGCUCGUCCGAAAGCGGCCCCCGCCCGACCGCGGUCCAAAGCUCCCCUCGAGGGAGCGUCACGCACUUCUCGUUUCAGCCGCGGGGAGACCCCCUGUACCGUCUCCGCAAGCCCGGGCGUCCGCACUGUUCGCAGUGGGGCGUCGGGGCGGAGGAGCGAAUAGGGGAACCAAGCGCAGAGGACGAGGAGGUCUGCGGGGAGUAGGUCGGUCAUCCACCCGACCCGUCUUGAAACACGGACCAAGGAGUCUAACAUGUGCGCGAGUCGCCGGGACUUGAACAGGCCCGGAGGCGAAGUGAAAGCGAUGAUUUGAAAGCCGUGAUCCCCGUGGGUGGAACCCGGGGCGCAGCGGCGGCCCGUCCCGCUCGCCGAGGCGUGCGGGCGGAGUCUGAGCGCACACGUUGGUGCCCGAAAGAUGGUGAACUAUGCACGGCCAGGACGAAGACAGAGGAAACUCUGUUGGAGGUCCGAAGCGGUUCUGACGUGCAAAUCGAUCGUCAGAGCCGUGUAUAGGGGUGAAAGGCCAAUCGAACCAUCUAGUAGCUGGUUCCCUCCGAAGUUUCCCUCAGGAUAGCUGGCACUCGGGGAAACGCAGUCUCAUGCCGUAAAGCGAAUGAUUAGAGGCAUUGGGACCGAAACGAUCUCAACCUAUUCUCAAACUUUGAAUGCGUGAGUUGUCCGCCUUGCCGUCCCCUAUCCGGAAGGCCGGACCCACGAUGCGAGUGCCCAGUGGGCCACUUUUGGUAAGCAGAACUGGCGCUGUGGGAUGAACCAAACGCCGGGUUACGGUGUCCGAUGCGUUCAGACGCUCAUCAGACCCCAUAAAAGGUGUUGGUUGCUGAAGACAGCAGGACGGUGGCCACGGAGGUUGGAACCCGCUAAGGAGUGUGUAACAACUCACCUGCCGAAGCAACUAGCCCUGAAAAUGGAUGUCGCUCAAGCGUCGAACCCAUACCCGGCCGCUGACCCAGAACCCGGCCAAUUCCACGGGAAUAUUACGGGUCAGCGAGUAGGAGGGUCGCCCCGGGGAGCGUGGAAGGGUAGGGCGUGAGCCCGCCUGGAGCCCCCGGGGGUGCAGAUCUUGGUGGUAGUAGCAAAUACUCGAGCAAGAGCCUUGAGGACUGAAGACGGAGAAGGUUUCCAUGUGAACAGCAGUUGAACAUGGGUCAGUCGGUCCUGAGGGAUCGGCGAAAGCCGUUCGUAAGCGGGGACGUUACCAAGGUGAGUCCCGCGCAGACCGAAUGGUGAUGGGGUUAAUAUUCCCCAACCCGCACGCGGAGAUCGGGACUUCGGUCCCAAGAGCGGUAACGCAACCGAACUCGGAGACGCCGGCGGAGGACCCGGGGAAGAGUUAUCUUUUCUUUGUAAGGGUUCAUGUCCCUGGAACCGGCUCGUCCGGAGAUAGGGAUGUCGUUCCCGUAAAAGCACCGCGGCUCUCGCGGUGUCCGGUCCGCCUCUGUCGGCCCUUGAAAAUCCGAGGGAGUGAGUGUGAUUUUCGCGGCGGGCCGUACCUAUAUCCGCAGCAGGUCUCCAAGGU